AUGACUGUUGGUAAUGGAUAUCUCAGCUCUUGCAUCAAUGAAGAACAUAACGAAAUGCGAUACUUGGUGUAAGUUGUAGAAUCUUAUGAACUAUCGAUUCUUUUUACGCAAGUUGCACCCCAAGCCAUUAGGCCUAGGGUACGCCAGCCUAGGUGUCAUACACCAUUACCACUUUCAACCCCUUGCCCAUUGGGCUCUAGGUGAAGGGCUAGAAGAUGGCCUCUCAUGAUCUUGUUGGUUGUGGUUCACCCAAAAGUGAGUCCCCGACAAUGAUAGUGUUGUGGCCUUCAGUGGCAUAGCUUCCAGCUUGCUUCGUCUCCAGUGAUGUGCUCUCAUUGUCCAUUUGAAUCCCAUCAGACCCCCCACAUCACUCAAUCAUUACUUUUAUCAUGAUGCAAGGUUAGGUGGGAUUACACACUAAGUUUAAGCAUAUCAAUAAGCGAAUAAAAAAAAACUUACCAAGAUUCCGUUAGUAAUGGCAAGUGAAUCGUGAAUAGCCUAGUAUCGGGCACCUCCAAUGUCUGAAUUAUAGUUUAAAGACGCAUUCUUGGUGGUGAACUGGACCCAAGUCCUUGGGAAUAAGGCACUAUAGAGCAUGAGAGCCCCAUUGUGCUUGGACCCUAUCACAACAAAAAAUGUUAUUUGUGAGCCAAGUUGUUUGGGAAUGCAAUCCCCAAUCAGGUGGUAAAUUCCAUCCAAAGCUGAAUACGAGGAAGAGAUCGAUAGUGAACAAGUACUAUGAGGGAAAGAUGAAAAUGACUUUGAAAAGAGAAUUAAUAAGUGUUUGAAAUUAUCAGAAAAGAAGCAGAUGGGGGCCAAUUAUGUGCUCUAGUUAGAUGUGGAACAGGGAGACCCUAUCCAUUGAUCAACUUAGGGCAUGAAUCGAAAUAGGUUAUAGUGGUGACCCAAGCUGGGCUUUUUAUUGGCCUACAGAAACAUCAUUGCUACGAUCAUAGAAUGCAGCAUUAAAUGUUGAGACAUACCUUGAUGUUGACCUACGGGCUUCCCAUUUGGUCUGUCUUGAAAUACAAUCCAAAGAGUCUAACAUGUGUAUUAGUCAAUAGGCUAGAAAACUCAUAAAGUGCAAGGAAGCUGAUUGGCAGGAUCCCUCAUGGGUGCACCACUGACUGACCUUGAUCUUUUAAGAAGGGUUUGAGUGUGAGCAUGCCUAUUAGGACCCAAAAAUGGUAAACUAUGCUUGAGCAGAGCAAAGCUAGGAAAAACUCUAAUAGAGGCCCAUAACAAUACUAACAUGCAAAUCAUUUGGGGUAAAAGACUAAUUGAAUCAUUUAGUAGCAAGUUCCCUCUGAAGUUUUCCUCAAGAUAGCUGUAGCCCUUAGUAAGUUGUAUCGAGUAAAGCCAAUGAUUAGAGGCAACAAGUGCGCAAUGCCCUUGACCUAUCCUCAAACUUUAAAUAGGUAAGAUGGCAUGGCUACUUCAUUAAGCCUCAUCAUAGAAUAGAGAGCUCUAAGAGGGCCAUUUUUGGUAACCAAAACUGGUGAUACAACAUAAAUCGGACAUCAAGUUACGGUGCCCAACUGCAUGCUAACCUAAAACCCUCAAAGGGUGUUGGUUGUUAAGAUAGUAGGAUGGUGGUCAUAGAAGUCAAAAUCUACUAAAAAAUGUGUAACAACUCACCUACCAAAUCAACUAGUCCCAAAAAUGUAUGGUGCUUAAGCGUGCUACACAUACCUAGUGUCAGGGUAAUGUCUAGGCCUCGAUGAGAAAGAGGGCAUGAUGAUUGUCAUAAAGCCCAAGGCAUGAGCUCGGGUGGAGCAACCAUUGGUAUAGAUCUUAGUGAUAGUAGUAAAUAUUCAAAUGAGAACUUUAAAGGCCAAAGGGGAAAAGUUCCAUAUGUAUGACACCUACACAUAGGUUAGUCAAUCCUAAGAGAUGGGGAAAGCCCAUCUAAUAAUGUAUCCAAUGCAUGCAUAAAAAGGGAAUCAAGUUAAAAUUUUUGAACUAGGAUGCAAUGGUUGAUGGCAACAUUAGGGAGUCCAAAGAUGUCAAUAGGGGCCUCGAAAAGAGUUAUCUUUUCUAUUUAAUGGCCCACCUACCCUGGAAAUGGCUCAACUGAAUGUAGGUUCUAGCAAUUGGAAUAGCAUCGCACAUCAUGUCGUAUCUAGUGCAACCCUGGUGGCCUUUAAAAAGUCAAAAGACUGAGUGCCAUCCAUUCCCAGUUAUAUUUAUAAUUACAUUAAGUCUCCAAGGUGAAUAGCCUCUGAUUGAUGGAAUAAUGUAAGCAAAUGAAGUUGGCAAAAUGGAUUCGUAACCUCAGGAAAAAGAUUGGCUUUGAGGGUUAAGCAUGGGGGUCCUAGUCCUAAACCCAUCAACUAUCGAUGCACUAUUCGAUCUAUUCUCACGAUGAGAGUGGGUCAUCAUGUGCUAGCUGAGGGAUGGACUCAGAACAGCUCCCUUAUGGGCCUUCCCAGACAACAAAUAAUCGACUCAAAAUUGGUACAGACAAGGGGAAUAUGACUAUUUAAUUAAAACAAAGCAUUGCAAUGGUCUCUAUGGAUGCUCAUAUAAUUUGAUUUUUGCCCAAUGCUCUGAAUGUCAAAGUGAAGAAAUUCAACCAAGUGCGGGUAAAUGGUAAGAGUAACUAUGACUUUCUUAAGGUAGCCAAAAGUUUUGUCAUAUAAUUAGUGAUGCGCAUGAAUGGAUUAAAAAGAUUCCCAUUGUCCUUGUCUACUAUCCAGACAAACCACAGCCAAAAGAAUAGGUUUCACAGAAUUAGUGAGGAAAAGACACUGUUAAGCUUGACUCUAGUGUGACUUUGUGAAAUGACUUAAGAGUUGUAUGAUAAGUGGGAGCCUUCAAGAAGAAUUGAAAUACCAUUACUUUUAACAUUAUUUUAUUUAUUCUGUGAAUUGAAGGCAGGGCAAGACCCCUUCUUUUGGACCCAAGGUUGGCCUAAGUCGAUUAAUCCAAGUGGAAGACAUUGUUAAGUAUGAAAUUUGGCUAAGGCAACAUAUUUAUUAAAAGAUAAUACAAGUGUCCAAAGAUGAGCUCAACAAAAACAGAAAUCUCGUAUGGAACAACAGGGUAAAAGCUCAUUUGAUACUAAUUUGUACAAAUAUGAACCAUAAAAGCAUGGCCUAGUAAUCAUUUAGACCUUUGAAAUUUGAAGCUAUAGGUGUCAGAAAAGUUGCCAUAAGGAUAAGUGGCUUAUGGUAACCAAGCGUUCAUAGUGAUGUUACUUUUUUAUUCUUCAAUGUUAGCCUUCUUAUGAUUGUGAAAUAGAAUUCACCAAGUGUCGGAUUGUUCACCCAGCAAUAAAGAACAUGAACUGGGAUUAGACCAUCAUGAGAUAAGUUAGUUUUACCCUAUUGAUGGUAGCAUUGCAAUAAUAAUUCAACCUAGUACGAGAGGAACAAUUGAUUCGCAUAAUUGGUCAUGUGUUUGGUUGAAAAGCUAGUGGCAUGAAGCUAUCGUGUGCUAGAUUAUGACUAAACACCUAUAAGUCAGAAUUUAGGCUAGAAGCAAUGCACACACUUGUCACUUAAUUGCCAACCUAUAGUAGAGGCCCAUAACCCUUAAGGGCACAUGUCAUAGGUGUAGUUCCCGAGGCUAACAAGCUAUGCAGGCCUCUUUG
rnacentral:rRNA from 1 species